GACGAAUGCUGGCGGCGUGCUUAACACAUGCAAGUCGAACGGAAAGGCCCUGCUUUUGUGGGGUGCUCGAGUGGCGAACGGGUGAGUAACACGUGAGUAACCUGCCCUUGACUUUGGGAUAACUUCAGGAAACUGGGGCUAUACCGGAUAGGAGCUCCUGCUGCAUGGUGGGGGGUGGAAAGUUUUGGCGGUUGGGGAUGGACUCGCGGCUUAUCAGCUUGUUGGUGGGGUAGUGGCUUACCAAGGCUUUGACGGGUAGCCGGCCUGAGAGGGUGACCGGCCACAUUGGGACUGAGAUACGGCCCAGACUCCUACGGGAGGCAGCAGUGGGGAAUAUUGCACAAUGGGCGGAAGCCUGAUGCAGCAACGCCGCGUGCGGGAUGACGGCCUUCGGGUUGUAAACCGCUUUCGCCUGUGACGAAGCGUGAGUGACGGUAAUGGGUAAAGAAGCACCGGCUAACUACGUG
rnacentral:rRNA from 1 species